rnacentral:misc_RNA from 1 species
CAACCCUCAAGCAAUGCUUGGUAUUGGGCUCUGCUGCUCACCCAGCAGGCCUUAAAAUCAGUGGCGGUGCCGUCGGGCCCUGAGCGUAGUAAAUAUCCUCGCUACAGGGACCUGGUGGACGCUGGCCAUCAACCCCCCAUUCUCUAA